rnacentral:lncRNA from 10 species
GAGGCAGAUCCUGCAGCUCCGAAACACCCUCCAAGCUUCACGUUGCCACACGGUUCUGGGAGAUGAGGCCAUGGCAAUCUGUGGCUUCCCUUGCUCCUGAACUUGAGCCUCUGAUUCCCUCUCCUGUUGGAGGCUUUAACACGAGUCUGACUGUGUCACCCAGGCUGGAGUGCAGUGGCGUGAUCUCGGCUUACUACAACCUCUGCCUCCUGGGUUCAAGCAAUUCUCCUGCCUCAGCCUCCAGAGUAGCUGGGAUUACAGCACCCCUCCCACAAGCUAGCAGGAGGGUGGAAGUGAGGAUGAAGGAUCCUUGUGGAAGCUGAGUCCAGCCCAGGAUGCCUCUGCCCACUUCUGCUCUGCUCUUAGCACAGGUGCCUGGCUCCCACCUGUUGAGUUACAGGCCACUGACUUCCAAGUCAGGCCAGGAGGUCAGUCAUCUUUUCCACCGAUCCUCUGCCCUGAGCUGAGUUAUCUCGCAC